rnacentral:rRNA from 1 species
GACGAACGCUGGCGGCGUGCUUAACACAUGCAAGUCGAACGGAAAGGCCCUGCUUUUGUGGGGUGCUCGAGUGGCGAACGGGUGAGUAACACGUGAGUAACCUGCCCUUGACUUUGGGAUAACUUCAGGAAACUGGGGCUAAUACCGGAUAGGAGCUCCUGCUGCAUGGUGGGGGUUGGAAAGUUUCGGCGGUUGGGGAUGGACUCGCGGCUUAUCAGCUUGUUGGUGGGGUAGUGGCUUACCAAGGCUUUGACGGGUAGCCGGCCUGAGAGGGUGACCGGCCACAUUGGGACUGAGAUACGGCCCAGACUCCUACGGGAGGCAGCAGUGGGGAAUAUUGCACAAUGGGCGGAAGCAUGAUGCAGCAACGCCGCGUGCGGGAUGACGGCCUUCGGGUUGUAAACCGCUUUCGCCUGUGACGAAGCGUGAGUGACGGUAAUGGGGAAAGAAGCACCGGCUAACUACGU